rnacentral:lncRNA from 1 species
UUUUUAUCCACUUGAUCUGUACAUUACAGAAAAAUAUAUUAAAAUCUCCUAGUAUGAUGAUGGGUCCCAGAGUCUGGCUCCUAUUCCCAGUACACAAGACCUAUCAAAACCUGGCUCUAGGCCCCCGGGGACUGGCAGACAUCUUCAGGGCACAGUGCCAAAUGUGUUCAUGAAGACAGUAACAUUCCUCUCAUCAUUUUCUCCAGAACUUUGGUGCUUUGAGUCAAAGGUUGACAUAAAGCUUUCAAAACAAAUGCGUGUUUGCACCUCCGCCUCGGGGCCGCAGGAACCUGGACUCAGGGACUAUUUAGACAACACUGAGUUGGAGGAGAAGACUACCAACUGCUCUGGAUUGAUGACACCGUUUGGGCGUAAAAUGGGCAGAAGGAGGAUGGUAGGAAGAAAAGCAGGAGAGAUGUUGCUGCCUCUUCUCAGAGGUAACACGAGCUGCCUAAACCUCUGCUGAGGAGAUAGAAGGCAAGCAUCCUGGGAGAGGAACCCCUUGGGAGAGUUUGAAGGAGACUGAGUGUCAAGGAAACCCGCAAACUACAGCAGAAAGGCAAGAAUGGAUUGUGGCUAGCUGGACACUGGGCCCUCCGCUGGCACUGUGGUCACUGCUGGCCCCAGUGCCACCAAUGCCACAGGACACUGGAUGCCAUAGCCACCAACUCCACCAGAAGGAGUUCCGAUUAUGUUGUUCAGUCUGGAUUUAGAAGUCUCAGCUAGGAAUAGUGGCAGAAGUAAUUGAGAAGCAAGAAGUAUGAGGAUGGACGGGGAGGGAGCAAACCACUUACCCGGUCAUGGACGAUUUGCCAGGAGCUGGGCCUUUAAUCAUCAGUUUUCUAUUAAUUCCUGGAACCAGACCCUCCCUGGCACAAUGGGAGUGCCAAUUUCCUCUCACUGCUCCUGGAUCUGACUGAGGCAGCUCAAGAAGGAGGAAGUCGGGGAGAUCUGAUCGGAUGAAGGGGAGAUGGGAGACUAGAAAACAGAAAUUGCUCAAAAAGGAAUUGAGCCCUUUGGAUGGGAAACAGGA